ensembl:lncRNA
AUGGAUUGCGGUUCUGCUAACUUCUGUUUUAUUUGCAUUUGUUUUCAGGGUACAUUAAACUGUCUCCCUCAUCAACCCCCAGUGGGUCAAAUUAAGACCCCUGUCCAGUGUGCGGAGAACCCUAAAGGAUCAGGUGGAGUUAUAAUAUAUGACCAGAUGAUGUUCGCCAUGAACAAACAACACUUGGUAGGUUUACAUGCUUUACUACUUCCACUCCAAAACUGAAUGACUAGCAUCUUAGUUUAUUAAAAAUCUGAUUUUGUCUUCUGCAGGUGGCAGUUCUUCUCUCUAGAGGUGAAAAACUCUGUCAGACCAGUUCUGUUGUAAUGGCAAGUGAAGACAAGAAAGAGAAAUGAUUCCCAAGACCUUAACAUCUCACCAUUUAUACUUCAAAUAAAGGCAUUUUACCAUCAUUUGUGUCUUUGUGC